AUUGAACGCUGGCGGCAUGCCUUACACAUGCAAGUCGAACGGUAACAGGUCUUCGGAUGCUGACGAGUGGCGAACGGGUGAGUAAUACAUCGGAACGUGCCUAGUAGUGGGGGAUAACUACUCGAAAGAGUGGCUAAUACCGCAUGAGAUCUACGGAUGAAAGCAGGGGAUCGCAAGACCUUGUGCUACUAGAGCGGCCGAUGGCAGAUUAGGUAGUUGGUGGGAUAAAAGCUUACCAAGCCGACGAUCUGUAGCUGGUCUGAGAGGACGAUCAGCCACACUGGGACUGAGACACGGCCCAGACUCCUACGGGAGGCAGCAGUGGGGAAUUUUGGACAAUGGGCGCAAGCCUGAUCCAGCCAUGCCGCGUGCAGGAUGAAGGCCUUCGGGUUGUAAACUGCUUUUGUACGGAACGAAAAGGUUUGGCCUAAUACGCUGAACUCAUGACGGUACCGUAAGAAUAAGCACCGGCUAACUACGUGCCAGCCGCCGCGGUAA
rnacentral:rRNA from 1 species